GACGAACGCUGGCGGCGUGCUUAACACAUGCAAGUCGAACGGAAAGGCCCCCACCUUGGUGGGGGUGCUCGAGUGGCGAACGGGUGAGUAACACGUGGGUGAUCUGCCCUGUACUUCGGGAUAAGCUUGGGAAACUGGGUCUAAUACCGGAUAGGACCAUGGUUUAGUGUCUCAUGGUGGAAAAAUUAUUGUUUUGGUGCAGGAUGAGGUCGCGGCCUAUCAGCUUGUUGGUGGGGUAAUGGCCUACCAAGGCGUCGACGGGUAGCCGGCCUGAGAGGGUGGACGGCCACAUUGGGACUGAGAUACGGCCCAGACUCCUACGGGAGGCAGCAGUGGGGAAUAUUGCACAAUGGGCGCAAGCCUGAUGCAGCGACGCCGCGUGGGGGAUGACGGCCUUCGGGUUGUAAACUCCUUUCGUUAGGGACGAAGCCACACCUUUUUUGGGUGUGGUGACGGUACCUUUGUUAAGAAGCACCGGCUAACUACGUG
rnacentral:rRNA from 1 species